rnacentral:rRNA from 1 species
GGAGGAAGGUGGGGAUGACGUCAAGUCAUCAUGGCCCUUACGACCAGGGCUACACACGUGCUACAAUGGCGCAUACAAAGAGAAGCGACCUCGCGAGAGCAAGCGGACCUCAUAAAGUGCGUCGUAGUCCGGAUUGGAGUCUGCAACUCGACUCCAUGAAGUCGGAAUCGCUAGUAAUCGUGGAUCAGAAUGCCACGGUGAAUACGUUCCCGGGCCUUGUACACACCGCCCGUCACACCAUGGGAGUGGGUUGCAAAAGAAGUAGGUAGCUUAACCUUCGGGAGGGCGCUUACCACUUUGUGAUUCAUGACUGGGGUGAAGUCGUAACAAGGUAACCGUAGGGGAACCUGCGGUUGGAUCACCUCCUU